rnacentral:lncRNA from 1 species
UGAACAUGCACUAUGCAUGCUUUAAUUUAAUCUUGAUUUUGGCGGAUUUCCUUUGAACUUUGUUAUAAUUCUAUUCCGCAGACAUGGUUUAACUCGGUUAUUUAAUACAUGACUUGAUUGAAUAUUGCCGACUUCGGACACGUUUGGUGGUUAGUUAUGCUACUGCUGUUCAGCCCAAUUAAUUAAAAUAAAGUUGAAGGACAGAU